UUAUCGGAGAGUUUGAUCCUGGCUCAGGACGAACGCUGGCGGCGUGCCUAAUACAUGCAAGUCGAGCGGACAGAUGGGAGCUUGCUCCCUGAUGUUAGCGGCGGACGGGUGAGUAACACGUGGGUAACCUGCCUGUAAGACUGGGAUAACUCCGGGAAACCGGGGCUAAUACCGGAUGGUUGUUUGAACCGCAUGGUUCAGACAUAAAAGGUGGCUUCGGCUACCACUUACAGAUGGACCCGCGGCGCAUUAGCUAGUUGGUGAGGUAACGGCUCACCAAGGCGACGAUGCGUAGCCGACCUGAGAGGGUGAUCGGCCACACUGGGACUGAGACACGACCAGACUCCUACGGGAGGCAGCAGUAGGGAAUCUUCCGCAAUGGACGAAAGUCUGACGGAGCAACGCCGCGUGAGUGAUGAAGGUUUUCGGAUCGUAAAGCUCUGUUGUUAGGGAAGAACAAGUGCCGUUCAAAUAGGGCGGCACCUUGACGGUACCUAACCAGAAAGCCACGGCUAACUACGUGCCAGCAGCCGCGGUAAUACGUAGGUGGCAAGCGUUGUCCGGAAUUAUUGGGCGUAAAGGGCUCGCAGGCGGUUUCUUAAGUCUGAUGUGAAAGCCCCCGGCUCAACCGGGGAGGGUCAUUGGAAACUGGGGAACUUGAGUGCAGAAGAGGAGAGUGGAAUUCCACGUGUAGCGGUGAAAUGCGUAGAGAUGUGGAGGAACACCAGUGGCGAAGGCGACUCUCUGGUCUGUAACUGACGCUGAGGAGCGAAAGCGUGGGGAGCGAACAGGAUUAGAUACCCUGGUAGUCCACGCCGUAAACGAUGAGUGCUAAGUGUUAGGGGGUUUCCGCCCCUUAGUGCUGCAGCUAACGCAUUAAGCACUCCGCCUGGGGAGUACGGUCGCAAGACUGAAACUCAAAGGAAUUGACGGGGGCCGCACAAGCGGUGGAGCAUGUGGUUUAAUUCGAAGCAACGCGAAGAACCUUACCAGGUCUUGACAUCCUCUGACAAUCCUAGAGAUAGGACGUCCCCUUCGGGGGCAGAGUGACAGGUGGUGCAUGGUUGUCGUCAGCUCGUGUCGUGAGAUGUUGGGUUAAGUCCCGCAACGAGCGCAACCCUUGAUCUUAGUUGCCAGCAUUCAGUUGGGCACUCUAAGGUGACUGCCGGUGACAAACCGGAGGAAGGUGGGGAUGACGUCAAAUCAUCAUGCCCCUUAUGACCUGGGCUACACACGUGCUACAAUGGACAGAACAAAGGGCAGCGAAACCGCGAGGUUAAGCCAAUCCCACAAAUCUGUUCUCAGUUCGGAUCGCAGUCUGCAACUCGACUGCGUGAAGCUGGAAUCGCUAGUAAUCGCGGAUCAGCAUGCCGCGGUGAAUACGUUCCCGAGCCUUGUACACACCGCCCGUCACACCACGAGAGUUUGUAACACCCGAAGUCGGUGAGGUAACCUUUAUGGAGCCAGCCGCCGAAGGUGGGACAGAUGAUUGGGGUGAAGUCGUAACAAGGUAGCCGUAUCGGAAGGUGCGGCUGGAUCACCUCCUUU
rnacentral:rRNA from 1 species